UACGUAGGGUGCAAGCGUUGUCCGGAAUUAUUGGGCGUAAAGAGCUCGUAGGCGGUCCGUCACGUCGGCUGUGAAAACCUGGGGCUCAACCCCGGGCCUGCAGCCGAUACGAGCGGACUAGAAUUCGGUAGGGGAGACUGGAAUUCCUGGUGUAGCGGUGAAAUGCGCAGAUAUCAGGAGGAACACCGGUGGCGAAGGCGGGUCUCUGGGCCGAUAUUGACGCUGAGGAGCGAAAGCGUGGGGAGCGAACAGG
rnacentral:rRNA from 1 species